CUCUGUGCACUGCGGCCGCGUUCAGUGGUUGUUUGUGCUUCGGCCCCUCCUCCUAUCGUCGUCUUCGCGCGCGUGAGCGUGUCCAGCAGCUAGCCUGCAUCGUCGCCGUCCUCCUGGAGCCACUUCCCCCUCCGUUAGCCCCUCCGUCAGCUCUCGUCGCCGCGCGCCCACGGGCGAGCUGUAGCCGACCAAGGCUUUAAUGGCGUUCGGCUCCUUCUCCUCUUGUCCUCAAGCUCGCCCUCGUCUCCGUGAGCCAUGUCCCUCGUCUGUUUCCUCUCCGUCGCCUUCCCCGAGCUCAUGCGCGAGCACACACGUCCGCGGCGCCGGACACGCGUCCGCGGCGACGCCAGCUCGGCCUCCUCGCCCCGCGGCUAUUUAAGCCCUCCCCCGAGUCGUUCGAGCACCUCAUCAGCCUCCCCUCACUCCUAGCUCCCUCCCCGUCCACUCGCCUGAGCUCCAGAAGCUCUUCUUGCCACUCAUCACUGCCAUGGCCGCCCCUGGCCUCCGCCUAAAUUCGCAGCAACCCGAGCCCUUCUCCUCUCCUAGCCACAACCAGAGAGCCACUAGACCUCCCCGAGCUUUCCCCGCCCUCCUCCUUGCCCUCUCGUGGCCUCUCGCCGUGCUUCCCAUCACCGACCAAAGCUGCCGUCCGCCGUGGUCACGGCCCCGCUCGUCCCCGCGUUCUCCGGUGAGCGUGCUGCCCCCAGUCGGGUGCGCCUCUCCACGCGGAGCAUUUCGGUGGUCGGGGCGUCUCCUGAGUCGUCCCGAGCCGGCCGGACGAGCGCCGGCGCCAUGCACCUCCUCUGUUCUGCGGGCGCGCCGUCGGGAUGGAGAAAGAAGAAGGGAAUGGAGGAGAGAGAGAGAGGGAGUGGAUAAGGCGGGCCCCACCAGUCAGCCACACCGGAGCCGGCCCCGCGUUGACCCCAGGUGCCAACAUGGAUAAGUGACGGGUCCCACCCCGCGGGACCCGCACGUCAGCGACCCACGCCCGGCCCCGCCACUGUCCACGUGGUUAACUGGAAACGCAUUUCAAAAAACGUAUUCAACCCGAAGGCGCUUUCUGUUUUUCUGUCCAGGCCAAGAUUUUGAAGUUUUUCAUUACAGAUGGGUCCCUGGCAGAAAACACCUCAUAUCUUUUUAACCACAACUCCAAAUGAGCCCCCUCUGAGAGAGUACGUUUUCCGGCGAUCCUUUCCGCAAGUUUCUCGCACUUUCUCCCGGUGAUUUCUUCCACCCCAGGCAAGCCACACCCUCCAUUUUCAUGAUUGCAAUGCAGUGACAUUGUUUAAAUUAUUUGAACUUGUUUAAAAUAUUGCUUUAGCUACAUGACUUUGUGCAUGGCAAUUUCUCGGAGUUGUAUUUUGAUCUUGUUAUUGCCAUGACGUUGCUUGGAGUUCUAGGACUUAUAUUUUGCAGCUUAUGUGGUUGACAUGUUGCCAUUGGAUUAUUAGUGGCUUAUGUUUUGAUAAUUUUCAUGGUGGUGUUGGAUAUUAUAUUUUGGAGUAUUACUUUGGAUAUCAUGCUACCUUUGGAUUAUUAGUGGUUAGUAUGAUUAUUUUCAUGAUGAUACCUGUUAUUAUCUUUGGGAGUAUUACCUUGGAUAUCAUGCUGCCUUUGGAUUAUUAGUGGUUAGCAUGAUUAUUUUCAUGAUGAUACCUGUUAUUACCUUUGGGAGUAUUACCUUGGAUAUCAUGCUACCUUUGGAUUAUUAGUGGUUAGCAUGAUUAUUUUCAUGAUGAUACCUGUUAUUAUCUUUGGGAGUAUUACCUUGGAUAUCAUGCUGCCUUUGCAUUAUUAGUGGUUAGUAUGAUUAUUUUCAUGAUGCUAGUUAAUGUUUUGUUGCUCGGAGUAUUAUUUUCGGAGAUGAUGUUUACAUAUGGAUCUUAGCCGAAUAGCUUUAUUCUUGUUAUUGGAGUAGUAGGAGUAUUGUUUUCGGAUUCAUCAUGACAGUAGUGUUGUGCUACCCUUGGAGUAUUUUGAGAUGAUGAUAUUAUGCUUGGAUUAUUUGUUGGAUAUUGCUAUGAUUUGUAUUAUAGUUUAAUAGUUGAUAUUGGAGUAGCAGUUACCACAACUGUAUUUUUGGGGAUAAAUUCCGUCAUUAAGUUGGUCAGGUGCCGCCGAACCGGGCUUUUCCAGUGCAACCACAUUUGCCUUUAUGGGAAGGCCCUAAUGCGGUCUAUUGUCGUGCCUCUCACCGGUGCCUCCAACUA